rnacentral:rRNA from 1 species
AAGCUACGCGAAGAACCUUACCAGGUCUUGACAUCCCGCUGCCCGGCGUAGAGAUAUGCCUUUCCCUUCGGGGACAGCGGUGACAGGUGGUGCAUGGUUGUCGUCAGCUCGUGUCGUGAGAUGUUGGGUUAAGUCCCGCAACGAGCGCAACCCUUAACCUUAGUUGCCAGCAUUUAGUUGGGCACUCUAAGGUGACUGCCGGUGAUAAACCGGAGGAAGGUGGGGAUGACGUCAAAUCAUCAUGCCCCUUAUGACCUGGGCUACACACGUGCUACAAUGGACGGUACAGAGGGUUGCCAACCCGCGAGGGGGAGCUAAUCCCAUAAAACCGUUCCCAGUUCGGAUUGCAGGCUGCAACUCGCCUGCAUGAAGCCGGAAUCGCUAGUAAUCGUGGAUCAGCAUGCCACGGUGAAUACGUUCCCGGGUCUUGUACACACCGCCCGUCACACCACGAGAGUUUGUAACACCCGAAGUCGGUGAGGUAACCCUUUUGGGAGCCAGCCGCCGAAGGUGGG